GAAAAAUUAGUUAAAUUUAUAACCUUAGAUUGUCAAACUAAAAUUAUCCAUUUAGGAUAUUUUUCU
rnacentral:tRNA from 1 species